CAUAUGCUUGUCUCAAAGAUUAAGCCAUGCAUGUCUAAGUUCACACUGUUCAACGGUGAAACCGCGAAUGGCUCAUUAAAUCAGUCGAGGUUCCUUAGAUGACACGAUCCUACUUGGAUAACUGUGGCAAUUCUAGAGCUAAUACAUGCCUAUGAAGCUCCGACCCGUCUGGGGAAGAGCGCUUUUAUUAGUUCAAAACCAAUGGCCGUGUCGGUGUCAAAGCCGCGCGGUGACCCCACUGGUGACUCUGGAUAACUUUGUGCUGAUCGCAUGGCCUUUGCGCCGGCGACGCAUCUUUCAAAUGUCUGCCCUAUCAAAUGUCGAUGGUACGUGAUAUGCCUACCAUGUUUGUAACGGGUAACGGGGAAUCAGGGUUCGAUUCCGGAGAGGGAGCAUGAGAAACGGCUACCACAUCCAAGGAAGGCAGCAGGCGCGCAACUUACCCACUCCCGGCACGGGGAGGUAGUGACGAAAAAUAACAAUACGGGACUCUCUACGAGGCCCCGUAAUUGGAAUGAGUACACUUUAAACCCUUUAACGAGGAUCUAUUGGAGGGCAAGUCUGGUGCCAGCAGCCGCGGUAAUUCCAGCUCCAAUAGCGUAUAUUAAAGUUGUUGCAGUUAAAAAGCUCGUAGUUGGAUCUCAGGUGCAGGCGGGCGGUCCGGCUCGCGCCGGUUCACUGCCCGUAUUUCCUGCCCUACCGUCUGUCGGCUCUCUCCCGCGGGUGCUCUUCGCUGAGCGUCCCGGGUGGCCGGCGCGUUUACUUUGAAAAAAUUAGAGUGUUCAAAGCAGGCCUCGGCUGCCUGAAUAAUGGUGCAUGGAAUAAUGGAAUAGGACCUCGGUUCUAUUUUGUUGGUUUUCGGAACUGGAGGUAAUGAUUAACAGGGACAAACGGGGGCAUUCGUAUUGCGGCGUUAGAGGUGAAAUUCUUGGAUCGCCGCAAGACGAGCUACUGCGAAAGCAUUUGUCAAGAAUGUUUUCAUUAAUCAAGAACGAAAGUCA
rnacentral:rRNA from 1 species